AAGCCUCAAGUUAUGUGUGACAACCCCCUGUUU
rnacentral:rRNA from 1 species